rnacentral:rRNA from 1 species
AUGAAGAAGCCCAUGGCGGCCGGCAGCGGCCGCGUGAACGUGGUGCCUAUGCUGCUCGUCUUCUGCUUGGCAUACGUGCUAGGCUUGGUCUCCAACGUCACCUUCGACAACUUCUACGUCCACAACUUCCUGUCGCCAUUGAUGCUGCCUGCCUCUCGGCUGCAAACGCCACCGACAACGCCAGAAGCUGUACCAUGCAUCCUGCCUCCGUCGUUGCCCCCUCCCGAGCCGACCCCGCCGUCAUUGGAGAGACGGAGAAUGGAGAGUGGCAGCGGCGCCUUGCACAACAUGACCGACGAGGAGCUGAUGUGGAGGGCGUCCAUGGUGCCGAGGAUCAAGAGCACGCCCAAGCACGGGAUCGUUCCCAAGGUCGCCUUCCUGUUCCUGGUGAGGGGGGACGUGCCGCUGCGUCCCCUAUGGGACAAGUUCUUCGAGGGCCAUGAGGGGCUCUAUUCCAUCUACGUGCACACCAGCCCCGACUACACCGGCUCGCCGCCGCCUGACUCCCCGUUCUACGGCCGCAUCAUCCCGAGCCAGAGAACGAGCUGGGGAAAUAUCAACCUGAUGGACGCGGAGCGGCGGCUGCUGGGAAACGCGCUGCUGGACGUUGCCAACGCGCGGUUCGCGCUGCUGUCCGAGUCGUGCAUCCCCAUCCUCGGCUUCCCGGUCCUGUACGCCUACCUCACCGGAUCCAACACCAGCUUCGUCGAUAGCUUCGACCGCCGGGACGGGCGCGCGCGGCACCGGGAAUUCUUCGCCGAGCGGAACAUCAGCCUGGCGCAGUGGCGCAAGGGCGCGCAGUGGUUCGAGAUGGACCGCGCUUUCGCGCUUGAGGUGGUGUCCGACGAGACCUACUACGGCCCGGUGUUCCGGAACGGCAAGCACGGGGUCCGCAACCUGGAGGAGCACUAUCCCAUGACGCUGGCGAGCCUGCUGGGCUGGGGCAGCCGGAACGCCAACCGGACCGUCACCUACUCCGACUGGCGGCACCCGGUGGGGCAGCACCCAAAGAGCCACAACGGCAGCGAGGUCACGGAGGAGCUCUUCGAGGAGAUGAGGCGGGGCUACGGCGACUGCUACUACAACGGCGGGGUGGCGGAGGUGUGCGCCGUGUUUGCGCGCAAGUUCAAGCCGGAGGCUCUCGACGCCCUGCUCGACCUCGCUCCCAAGUUGUUUGCCCCUGCCUGA